UGAGAGGAGAAACUUUAUGCCACCACCUUUACAUUUAGAGUGUCUUGGGUUGUGGGUAAGUUGAAGACCACCAAAGGAUAAAGAUGCAGGGGUAGCAGUGUCACAGGGGGAGAGCCAUGUUUCUGUUAAGGCAAGUAAAUCUAGGGAACGAGAGAUGAAGAGGUCGUGGACAGUAGUGGAUUUUGUAAUAUUGCAAACAGAGCGUGCAUUCCAGAGGGCAGUAUUGAAGGAGGAUUUAGAUGAAGAGUAACAUGAGAUUGGUGUGGUUCCUUGAGUUGGUACAGGGUGAGUUUGCCGAGAUGGGACCGGGGUUUGGAGAGACAUCACCAGCUGCUAGGAGCAGAAGGCCUUCCAGAGAUGAUACCUCAGCUUAGAAGAUUCUGCAGGACUUGGUUGCUUGUGCGUGC